rnacentral:rRNA from 1 species
AUUGAACGCUGGCGGCAUGCCUUACACAUGCAAGUCGAACGGUAACGGGCCUUCGGGUGCCGACGAGUGGCGAACGGGUGAGUAAUACAUCGGAACGUGCCCGAUCGUGGGGGAUAACGAGGCGAAAGCUUUGCUAAUACCGCAUACGAUCUACGGAUGAAAGCAGGGGACCGCAAGGCCUUGCGCGGACGGAGCGGCCGAUGGCAGAUUAGGUAGUUGGUGGGAUAAAAGCUUACCAAGCCGACGAUCUGUAGCUGGUCUGAGAGGAUGAUCAGCCACACUGGGACUGAGACACGGCCCAGACUCCUACGGGAGGCAGCAGUGGGGAAUUUUGGACAAAGGGCGCAAGCCUGAUCCAGCCAUGCCGCGUGCAGGAUGAGGGCCUUCGGGUUGUAAACUGCUUUUGUACGGAACGAAAAGCCUUCUUUUAAUACAGGAGGGUCAUGACGGUACCGUAAGAAUAAGCACCGGCUAACUACGUG